UGGGGAAUAUUGGACAAUGGACCAAGAGUCUGAUCCAGCAAUUCUGUGUGCACGAUGAAGUUUUUCGGAAUGUAAAGUGCUUUCAGUUGGGAAGAAAAAAAUGACGGUACCAACAGAAGAAGUGACGGCUAAAUACGUGCCAGCAGCCGCGGUAAUACGUAUGUCACAAGCGUUAUCCGGAUUUAUUGGGCGUAAAGCGCGUCUAGGUGGUUAUGUAAGUCUGAUGUGAAAAUGCAGGGCUCAACUCUGUAUUGCGUUGGAAACUGUGUAACUAGAGUACUGGAGAGGUAAGCGGAACUACAAGUGUAGAGGUGAAAUUCGUAGAUAUUUGUAGGAAUGCCGAUGGGGAAGCCAGCUUACUGGACAGAUACUGACGCUGAAGCGCGAAAGCGUGGGUAGCAAACAGG
rnacentral:rRNA from 1 species